CUAUAAUGUUGAUAUCAUGGAGGGUCAGUCCUUGCAUCCAUAGCUUUAUCUGUUAAUUUGAGAGUGGUUACAUUUCUCCAGUACCAUCCCUCAGCUUUUUACAGAAACAGGAGCUUUGUUAUUGUUUCUACUGUGGAUUGCUGCUUUAAGUAGCUUCAUAACACCACAGCAUGAGAGUUACAGUUGAGGAUAAAAUGAUCAGCGUUUGUUCAAUCUGUAGUUAAACGGUCCUCUUUGAUGGUGAAGGAGGUGAAUAUCUCUUUGAUUCUUGUUACGAAACCAAUAACUAGCUGGCUAAUAUUGUUGCACUCACUAAGUCUAGGGGUCUCAGGCCUAGUUAACUGGUCUGUAACCGGAUUUAAGCUUGUAAAUGUGUGAGAAAUCAGCGCAUGCGCCUAGGUGUUGAAGGUUCAAUAUGGAUGGAGUGUGUCCUGGAUAGUGUGUUUGUCUAUGUCCUAGCACUAACCCCCCUCCCCCUAUCAUAACAUUCUAAAGAAGGGCAAACCAGCUGAUGAUUGGCUCUUUCAUUAAGGCUAAUUUUUAUCCAGAAUUCAGAUGUACGGCUGUUGGCCAAAACCUUGGCCACUAGGCUAGAAGCGUUGCUUCCUUCACUCAUCAAUAUCGACCAGACGGGGCUUGCCGAGGGCAGAUACUCGUAGCAUUAUAUAAGGAAACUUCUAAACAUUAUUCAACAUGCAAAUCUAUAUAGCCCGGAGGCCUUAGUGAUCUCACUUGAUGCAGAGAAGGCCUUUAACAGGGUCGAGUGGACCUAUCUGAUUAUGACACUAGGAGAUGAGUUCAUCAAAUGGAUAGGGGUAUUUGACACCUGUCCUACUGCUGCUGUUCUCACCAAAGGGGUCAGAUUUCACACUAGGACAUGGAACCAGGUAGGGUUGUCCAAUGACCGUUCUGUUAUUAGCUGUGGCAAUAAGGCUGGAGGAUGCUAUAGGUGGGAUCCAAUAGGAGACCAAAGGCAAUAACAUUUCUCCAUAUUCGGAUGAUGUUUCGCUGUUCGUGUAGAAAUUCUAUUCCAAAAACUUGUAGACCUUAUUACCUCUUUAGGAGCUUCCUCUAGGUAUAAAGUCUGAGGCUAUGACACGUGGUGACUCCCAGGCUGUUAAUUCAACAAUCAGCCUUUCCAAUGGCCUCCCUCUGCUUUCACGUACUUGACUAUUAAAAUCUCUCCUGUGCUAAAAUGCAUGUAUAGAUGACCCAACUCCUGCUCUCUAUUCAAAAUGAUCUUCAUAGGUGGUGUUGCCUGCCUCUGUCGUGGUUAGGCCGUUCUCACCUUAUCAAAAUGAUCUUGAUAGGGGGUGUUGCCUGCCUCUCUGUCGUGGUUAGGUCGUACUCACCUUAUCAAAAUGAAUAUUCUCCCUCGCCUGCUAUACUGUUUUCAAAUGGUCCCACUUUUACUUCCCAGAAAAACCUUUACCCAGUUAGACCAUGCUAUCAUCAUUUUCUUCUGGCCAAGGUAAAUACCUAGGCUGAAGUACAGCUAUCUCACUCUACCUACCAGGUUAGCUGGUCUAGCAGCCCCUUCUCUUAAAUGUUAUCAACUGGCAUCUCAACUGAGCUUUAUUGAGAGUAUUGAAAACUCAAGAGCCUCUUGGCUUAGUGGUGAAUCAGCUACUAUUGGGACAAUCCCACUCCGUAAACGUUUAUACAUAUCGCAGACAAAGAUAGGCAAGUAACUAAAGACAAUUCAUUACAUGCUGAAGAACAUCUCUCUAUCUGGGGACAGGUCCGAAAUUUAGAAGGGCACAAUGAUUGUUCCUCAUUUCUGACCCCUUUGAAUGAAACCUAAUGUGUCUUGUCUUUACACUAAGUCUCAGGAAGCAGGAGGUUCCCUUAUUCAUUGUUUCUGGGAUUGUUGUUACAUAAAAACCAUUCUGGUCGGAGGUUCUACAGGAGAUAAUGUUUCUUGAACGCUCUCUCCAGCUGGGAGCAGCGUUUUUUAGACGGAAACUAGAGAGGAGCUGCCUCUUCGAUUUCCUUACGCACAUGUUACACAUUUUAUUACAUUGUGCACUAAACAUGUAUUCUUCUGCUGUGGAUAUCUGAUAAGGCAUCCUCAAGAAGUCAAUGGGAACAAAGGGCCAUUGAUUUAAUUUCCAAUGAGGCUUCCUCUACUCUAAAUAAGCCUCAUCAAUUUCUUAAGAUGUGGGACCCCUUCGUGAACCAACUCCGUCAAAACAAAAUGCUAAUUUCAGUACUGUCAGGCCUGGCCUGGCGCGAUUCAGCUACUUGAGGACAAAUCUACUUUAUGUAGGUGGUUUGUACUCAUACUUGACCUCUGUGAUUGUGUAGUCUGACGCUUAUUGUGGGUCUAUGAUCUGUAUACUGAUUAAUGGUAUUUUAUUUCUUUUUUUUAUUGUUGUCUUGUCUGUCUGUCUGUCUGUCUGUCUGUCUGUCUGUCUGUCUGUCUGUCAAUUGUGCUCUUCAUUCUCCUGUGUCUAGUGUUUUUUUGCCUUGUUUUCUUCUAUGAUAUAUUUAGUGUAUUUUUAUUACUCUGUAAAAGCCACAAAAGUUCAUUCAAAUUAUAUUAAAAAAUAUAUAUAAUAAAAAUAUAUAAAAUAUAUAAUUUAAAAAAUACUGGCAUAAUCAGUGAAAAGCUGAUUGGCAUUAGCGUUAGUACGCUAACGAGCCUAGCUGCCCCUCCCUGCUGCUCUAGGCAGGUUCACAGUGUUAGCACACUAACUAGCCUAGCUUCCCUCCCUGCUGCUCUAGGCAGGUUCACAGUGUUAGCACACUAACUAGCCUAGCUGGUCCUCCCUGCUGCUCUAGGCAGGUUCACAGUGUUAGCACACUAACUAGCCUAGCUGCCCCUCCCUGCUGCUCUAGGCAGGUUCACAGUGUUAGCACACUAACUAGCCUAGCUGCCCCUCCCUGCUGCUCUAGGCAGGUUCACAGUGUUAGCACACUAACUAGCCUAGCUUCCCUCCCUGCUGCUCUAGGCAGGUUCACAGUGUUAGCACACUAACUAGCCUAGCUUCCCUCCCUGCUGCUCUAGGCAGGUUCACAGUGUUAGCACACUAACUAGCCUAGCUUCCCUCCCUGCUGCUCUAGGCAGGUUCACAGUGUUAGCACACUAACUAGCCUAGCUUCCCUCCCUGCUGCUCUAGGCAGGUUCACAGUGUUAGCACACUAACUAGCCUAGCUGCUCCUCCCUGCUGCUCUAGGCAGGUUCACAGUGUUAGCACACUAACUAGCCUAGCUUCCCUCCCUGCUGCUCUAGGCAGGUUCACAGUGUUAGCACACU